rnacentral:rRNA from 1 species
AAGGAGGUGAUCCAGCCGCACUGAGCCAGGAUCAAACUAGAGUUUGAUCCUGGCUCAGGACGAACGCUGGCGGCGUGCUUAACACAUGCAAGUCGAACGGAGAGAGAUGGGAGCUUGCUCCUAUUGAUCUUAGUGGCGUACGGGUGAGUAACGCGUAACCAACCUGCCCUUCAGUGGGGGAUAACAACGGGAAACCGUUGCUAAUACCGCGUACGAUUUCCGAGUGGCAUCGCUUGGAAAUGAAAGGUGGCCUCUAUUUAUAAGCUAUCGCUGAAGGAGGGGGUUGCGUCUGAUUAGCUAGUUGGAGGGGUAACGGCCCACCAAGGCAAUGAUCAGUAGCCGGUCUGAGAGGAUGAACGGCCACAUUGGGACUGAGACACGGCCCAAACUCCUACGGGAGGCAGCAGUGGGGAAUCUUCCGCAAUGGACGAAAGUCUGACGGAGCAACGCCGCGUGAGUGAUGACGGUCUUCGGAUUGUAAAGCUCUGUUAAUCGGGACGAAAGAGCUCUGGUGAAUAAUGCAGAGAAGUGACGGUACCGGAA